AGGGGUAGUCAUCUUCGGAUGAUGAGAGGCGCACGGGUGCGUAACGCGUAUACAAUCUACCUUUUACAGAGGGAUAGCCCAGAGUAAUUUGGAUUAAUACCUCAUAGUAUUUUUGAAUGGCAUCAUUUGAUUAUUAAAGUUCCAACGGUAAAAGAUGAGUAUGCGUCCCAUUAGCUAGAUGGUAAGGUAACGGCUUACCAUGGCAACGAUGGGUAGGGGUCCUGAGAGGGAGAUCCCCCACACUGGUACUGAGACACGGACCAGACUCCUACGGGAGGCAGCAGUGAGGAAUAUUGGACAAUGGGCGCAAGCCUGAUCCAGCCAUGCCGCGUGCAGGAAGAAGGUCCUAUGGAUUGUAAACUGCUUUUAUACAGGAAGAAACACACCCUCGUGAGGGUACUUGACGGUACUGUAUGAAUAAGGACCGGCUAACUCCGUGCCAGCAGCCGCGGUAAUACGGAGGGUCCAAGCGUUAUCCGG
rnacentral:rRNA from 1 species